UUUUUUUUAUUUGAUCAUCUGGCUAAUCAUAUCUUCAUAACUAAAAUGUUUUAUAAUUUAUCUAUACUAGAAAUAUCAGGAACCUUAAAAAACAGCUUCGAAUAAUCUAACAUAAAUUGUAGUUGUGGAAUAUCACACAGGGGUUGCUUUUGGUCCUCUUUGAUAACUUUUGUAUGUUAGUUAUCUAACUCUUAACUUGGAUAACAAUAUGUCUGAUUUGAAUUUAACAGAUAAAACUCUUCAAUACUCUUCUUGGCCAAUGAAGACAUCAAAUAUAUUAGUGUCUGGUGUCAAGAUAAUUCAAUGGUUAUCAGUAAAUGUACAACUAAAGAAAAAUCUAUAUUAGUACAAACUAAUAAGAAACAAACAUUGAAUUGCAAUCUGAUGUAAGGUAUACAUCAUGAAUGAAUGUUGAAAUCAAGAUUACUCUAUCCUUAUUUUUUUAAAAUUUGUUUAAGAAAGUGAACAAUGUGGUGUCAAAAUAUAAUCAAGAACUAUUUGUGUGUGUUGUGAACAUGUAUAUCUAAAAAUAGUAUGAUCAAAAACUAUUUGUGUGUGUUGUGAACAUGAAUAUCUAUGAACAGUAUGAUCAAGAACUAUUUGUGUGUGUUGUGAACAUGAAUAUCUAAAAUAUG
rnacentral:lncRNA from 1 species